AAUAAAUUUAAUGAUAUUCUUCAUAAAUAUCAUCUCAUGCUUAUUAUUAGAUACGCUUUAAUUAAUUUCAUAACAUCAACUUAUUGUGUUCAUGAAAGAACUUAUUAUUAACUAUAACAUUGACUUAUACCAUGUAUAAGUUUUGUGUUAUGGCUGAAAAGUAUAACAUUCUUCUAAUAUAUUUUGUAAGGUUUGGUUUUGAAAACUUCCUCCACCACAAACAAACGGUGUCGUCGUCGUCGUCAACGUAGGAACUCGCGGAGGAAGCCAUUGUGGCAUUUUUUUUGUAUUCUGUAAACCUCAGUGUAAAAGCAGUUGCAAAUCAUGAGCGUCCCGGAAAAUCCCCACACUGUCCGGAACAACGAAAUCAUCGGUGCCAGCAGCCACAUCAUGACUAAUGACAGCUGCCCGUCCAGCAGAACCCGAAAUCGGAACUCACCCUGCCGGACAUAUCCAUUUUUCCAUCGCAAUUCAACGGAGGCAUAUCUCCAUUCGACACAAACACCGUCUCCAAAGCCUUCAACAGCGCAUACAGUCAGAAAUCUUUCGUCGAUGAGGUGCAGCCACUUCAACGGUACUUCAACCGCUCGAUCCGUACGAAAAGUGGAGCAACGGUGUUAACGACAUCUCCAGCUACAUCGUCGACACGGCCACUAGAAGGUCUCGUAAAACCAACGCAAUCUAGAUCGCAGUGCUUUGCCGGAGCUUUCUUCCAAGCGCGAUGUGUUGGUGUCGAUUAAAAGAUUGAAUAAAACAGCAAUGUGCGAAUCGAAUUCAAAACUUUGUUAUCACUAUUACAAAAAAAAAACAAAAAAGAAGUAAAAUAUUCAGGAUUUAAAUCAAAAUAUACGGUUAUAAGCUUUAUAAGAUUUAACUAAUAAACGCCAUAACACGUCUAAUAGCGCUUAUUACAAAAGAUGAAUGACAUUCAUAAGUUAAACUUAUACUUUUUAUUCAUUAUGUGUUAUGAUUUAUAUUACACUCUCAAAUUAGUUUUAAAAGGAAAACGAAAUGGCAAAAAUAUAUAACAUAUUCUUAUACAUUCAA